rnacentral:lncRNA from 1 species
CUUUUUUGAAGCUAAUAACUUAAACUAUUCCCACUUCAAGGACAUUUCUAUAGUCCUAUGCAUGACCUAUAAUUCCACUCCUUUCCAAAAUUUAAAAUGACACACUAUGCGGAGAAAACCUUUUCACAUGGCAUCACACCAUUGUUUCCCCUUUUGCUGAUGUCACAUAAAUAACUAGCCAUAGUUACUUUACAAAUCUGAGGGUGAGGCUUGGUGCAAUGGUUGCUCCAUUGUGACUUGAAGGUAGGUAUAAGACUGUGUACAUCUAACCCUCUCCAGACCUCGCAAUGGCGAGAGCCUCGUGCACUGUGCAAGCCCUUGUAUUUGCAUUACAAAUAUUUCAUCUUGGUGCAACAUGAUCAUAUCACGAUGCGUGUCUCUAUCUAUGUGCAUGACAUCAUACGUAUCUAAUGAGUGUGCAUACUGAAUGAGGAGAAGAAUCAUGGAGGCAAUGAAAUCUAAAUAGUGGUACAUAUGGUUGUCUCUUGUGGAAUUUGAGUGGUAAUAGUAGAGGCCAUUCUCA